UACGGAGGGGGGCUAGCGUUGUUCGGAAUUACUGGGCGUAAAGGGCGCGUAGGCGGCCUGUUAAGUCGAACGUGAAAUCCCCGGGCUCAACCCGGGAACUGCGUCCGAUACUGGCAGGCUUGAAUCCGGGAGAGGGAUGCGGAAUUCCAGGUGUAGCGGUGAAAUGCGUAGAUAUCUGGAGGAACACCGGGUGGCGAAGGCGGCAUCCUGGACCGGCAUUGACGCUGAGGUGCGAAAGCGUGGGGGAGCA
rnacentral:rRNA from 1 species